GAUGAACGCUGGCGGCGUGCUUAACACAUGCAAGUCGAACGGAAAGGCUCCUGCUUGCAGGGGUACUCGAGUGGCGAACGGGUGAGUAACACGUGGGUGAUCUGCCCUGCACUUCGGGAUAAGCCUGGGAAACUGGGUCUAAUACCGGAUAGGACGAUGGCUUGGAUGCCAUUGUGGAAAGUUUUUCGGUGUGGGAUGAGCUCGCGGCCUAUCAGCUUGUUGGUGGGGUAUUGGCCUACCAAGGCGUCGACGGGUAACCGGCCUGAGAGGGUGUACGGCCACAUUGGGACUGAGAUACGGCCCAGACUCCUACGGGAGGCAGCAGUGGGGAAUAUUGCACAAUGGGCGCAAGCCUGAUGCAGCGACGCCGCGUGGGGGAUGACGGCCUUCGGGUUGUAAACUCCUUUCGCUAGGGACGAAGCGCAAGUGACGGUACCUGGAGAAGAAGCACCGGCUAACUACGUG
rnacentral:rRNA from 1 species